GACGAACGCUGGCGGCGUGCUUAACACAUGCAAGUCGAACGGAGGAUACAUUGAAACGCAAGUCGAUAUGUAACCUUAGUGGCGGACGGGUGAGUAACGCGUGGGUAACCUACCCCAAAGUCCGGGAUAACAGCGGGAAACCGCUGCUAAUACCGGAUGCCUUUACCUUGGGGCAUCUUGAGGUAAAGAAAGGUAACGCUUUGGGAUGGGCCCGCGUCCCAUUAGCUAGUUGGUGAGGUAACGGCUCACCAAGGCGACGAUGGGUAGCCGGCCUGAGAGGGUGGACGGCCACACUGGGACUGAGACACGGCCCAGACUCCUACGGGAGGCAGCAGUAGGGAAUAUUGCGCAAUGGACGGAAGUCUGACGCAGCGACGCCGCGUGAGCGAUGAAGGUCUUCGGAUCGUAAAGCUCUGUCCUUGGGGAAGAAGGCGAAAGCUUGACGGUACCCAAGAAGAAAGCCCCGGCUAACUACGUGCCAGCAGCCGCGGUAAUACGUAGGGGGCGAGCGUUGUCCGGAAUUACUGGGCGUAAAGGGUGCGUANGCGGCCUUUAAGU
rnacentral:rRNA from 1 species